GGGUCAGUAGGUUGGUCGUGCCACCGGUACGUACUGGUCUCACUGAUUCCUCCUUCCUGAAGAACCGUAAUGCCAUUAAUUUGGUGUUGCGGGGAAACAGGACUGUUACUUUUAAAAAGUUAGAGUGUUUAAAGCAAGCUAACGCUUGAAUACAUUAGCAUGGAAUAAUGAAAUAGGACGAUCGAUCCUAUUUUGUUGGUUUCUAGGAUUGACGUA
rnacentral:rRNA from 1 species